rnacentral:sRNA from 2 species
ACGUAAUUGAUGGCACAUUAUUCUAGUCAAUUACUUUAUUAGGAAGACGAGCUUAAAAAUUCGUUAAAGGGCAUAUCUGUGAAACCUUUGGUGUCUGCUUCUUACGCCCAGUUUGGGGUGGAUGCUGGAGAUGAAGGAUACUGGGCGACUCAUAAUGGCAUAUGAAUCCCGACCCAUUAUCCGUGGAGACCUAUUUUUGUGCUAAACCUAUACGUGAAUACUGAUGGAUUUAGUACGCAAUAGGAUUAAACCUGUGCGGUGGCGAAAGUUAUCCACAGUGUAGCCUGUCUUGAGUGAAAAUAUUGGGAUGAAUGAUCGAGUUUAUAUGAACAGGCCGCUCAUAUAAAUGUGCGUUCUGAAAUUAUUUUUGCAAAAAAGGACUAAUAAUAAAGUGUUGGAGAGGAAAUCUCCUAGGGUGUACUUCAAUAUAGGAUUGCAGUGGGCACUAAGUGGCAAUCAAGUCGUAUGAAUCGGAGACGACAUAUUAAUUCUUGUAAAGGGGAACCGCUUAUCUGGUAACGGAUAUGUAAGAAUUAGGGAAAUCCUACUUGACCUAAGGCCCAAAGUUUACUAUUUUGAUAGCCAAACAAUUAAAUU